GCAGAGUCACUCUGCACCAGGUGGGUGCUCUUUCUGUUUGCCAGAGAAACAUUCCAGGGCACUGUGGCCACAUUGACCUGUUAAGGGUGAUGCAGGUGCUCUGGGACACAGAG
ensembl:snoRNA